rnacentral:rRNA from 1 species
CCUACGGGAGGCAGCAGUGGGGAAUAUUGGACAAUGGGCGAAAGCCUGAUCCAGCCAUGCCGCGUGUGUGAAGAAGGCCUUCGGGUUGUAAAGCACUUUCAGUGGGGAAGAAAGCCUUGGGGCUAAUACCCUCGAGGAAGGACAUCACCCACAGAAGAAGCACCGGCUAACUCCGUGCCAGCAGCCGCGGUAAUACGGAGGGUGCGAGCGUUAAUCGGAAUUACUGGGCGUAAAGCGCGCGUAGGCGGUCUAAUAAGCCGGUUGUGAAAGCCCCGGGCUCAACCUGGGAACGGCAUCCGGAACUGUCAGGCUAGAGUGCAGGAGAGGAAGGUAGAAUUCCCGGUGUAGCGGUGAAAUGCGUAGAGAUCGGGAGGAAUACCAGUGGCGAAGGCGGCCUUCUGGACUGACACUGACGCUGAGGUGCGAAAGCGUGGGUAGCAAACAGGAUUAGAUACCCUGUAGUC